rnacentral:rRNA from 1 species
GACGAACGCUGGCGGCGUGCUUAACACAUGCAAGUCGAACGGAAAGGCCCUGCUUUUGUGGGGUGCUCGAGUGGCGAACGGGUGAGUAACACGUGAGUAACCUGCCCUUGACUUUGGGAUAACUUCAGGAAACUGGGGCUAAUACCGGAUAGGAGCUCCUGCUGCAUGGUGGGGGUUGGAAAGUUUCGGCGGUUGGGGAUGGACUCGCGGCUUAUCAGCUUGUUGGUGGGGUAGUGGCUUACCAAGGCGUUGACGGGUAGCCGGCCUGAGAGGGUGACCGGCCACAGUGGGACUGAGAUACGGCCCAGACUCCUACGGGAGGCAGGAGUGGGGAAUAUUGCACAAUGGGCGGAAGCCGGAUGCAGCAACGCCGCGUGCGGGAUGACGGCCUUCGGGUUGUAAACCGCUUUCGCCUGUGACGAAGCGUGAGGGACGGUAAUGGGUAAAGAAGCACCGGCUAACUACGU